rnacentral:rRNA from 1 species
CACGCCAUAAACGAUGUCAACUAGUUGUUGGGUUCCUUGAGGACUUAGUAACGCAGCUAACGCAUUAAGUUGACCGCCUGGGGAGUACGGCCGCAAGGUUAAAACUCAAAUGAAUUGACGGGGGCCCGCACAAGCGGUGGAGCAUGUGGUUUAAUUCGAAGCAACGCGAAGAACCUUACCUGGUCUUGACAUGUAGCGAACGUUCCAGAGAUGGAUCGGUGCCUUCGGGAACGCUAACACAGGUGC